rnacentral:rRNA from 1 species
GGGAUUUGGCAUGGGGGGAACCCUGAUCAGCCUGCCGCGUGUGUGAAGAAGGCCUUUUGGUUGUAAAGCACUUUAAGCGAGGAGGAGGCUACUCUAGUUAAUACCUAGGGAUAGUGGACGUUACUCGCAGAAUAAGCACCGGCUAACUCUGUGCCAGCAGCCGCGGUAAUACAGAGGGUGCGAGCGUUAAUCGGAUUUACUGGGCGUAAAGCGUGCGUAGGUGGCCAAUUAAGUCAAAUGUGAAAUCCCCGAGCUUAACUUGGGAAUUGCAUUCGAUACUGGUUGGCUAGAGUAUGGGAGAGGAUGGUAGAAUUCCAGGUGUAGCGGUGAAAUGCGUAGAGAUCUGGAGGAAUACCGAUGGCGAAGGCAGCCAUCUGGCCUAAUACUGACACUGAGGUACGAAAGCAUG